UACAUAGGGGGCGAGCGUUAUCCGGAUUUAUUGGGUGUAAAGGGUGCGUAGACGGAGAGACAAGUUGGUUGUGAAAUCCCUCGGCUUAACUGAGGAACUGCAACCAAAACUAUUUCCCUUGAGUGUCGGAGGGGAAAGUGGAAUUCCUAGUGUAGCGGUGAAAUGCGUAGAUAUUAGGAGGAACACCGGUGGCGAAGGCGACUUUCUGGACGAUAACUGACGUUGAUGCACGAAAGUGUGGGGAG
rnacentral:rRNA from 1 species